UUCGGCCGCCCGAAAAUCUUCCUUCUUGCAGAGCGUCCCCCGUUCCGAUUGUAGUCGGCGUGGAUGGACUCCACGACCGAAAACCUAGGCAAUCUCACCAUAGCCGCGAACGAGCCUAGGCAGGCGACCCUGCCGCCGACCUUCGACGUGGCUGCUUCUGCUCAGUCCCCAGCGGCUGCGGCCUACCCCAUCUGGGUCCCGCAUCCACCGCGGGCUCCGUCUCCCUGGGAGAACGAUCCUAGGUACUACACAGAACGGCCUAAGGCUAAUCCAAAACUUCAUGCUGAGCAAUCCAUAAGAAUCGCGAAGUUCGCCUUGGAUUACUACAUCGAAACGAGAAGACCAAGUUUGAGCUCUUGGAAGUCAGGCCUGUCAGCUACGUGCCUACUGAAUGUCGUCCUUACAUACAUAUCAACUUCAUCGCAAGAGCCACCGAGCAGGGCUCGCAGGGACUGCUCUUCUUUGCCGAGCUGUAUCUCUGUGGCAAACGGAGGAGUCCAAGCGGUUACUCCGUGACCUAUUGUGAGCCACUGGGCGAUAAUUCUAUCACUGGACGCAACGGCAUGGACAGACCUCGUGCCGACCCUUCAGCGACGACGGAGAAGAUUGACUUAACUUACUGCUAUGCAUGUGAUCAGAACAUGCUUCAUCCCGAGGGUGUGAAAUACGUUGGCGGGCAUUGUAACGUUCCAGGUAUCUACAAAGGCUGUGCAAUGUUGUAGACAGAUUAAUCGACGUGCUAAUUAAUUAGCUAGAUUAUCCAGACUGAGCUACAUUUUACGGC